UACGAAGGGUGCAAGCGUUAAUCGGAAUUACUGGGCGUAAAGCGUGCGUAGGCGGAACGUUAAGUCCGGUCUGAAAGCCCCCGGCUCAACCGGGGAGGGUGGCUGGAAACUGGCGUUCUUGAGGGCGAGAGAGGAGGGUGGAAUUCCUGGUGUAGCGGUGAAAUGCGUAGAGAUCAGGAGGAACACCCGGGGCGAAGGCGGCCCUCUGGCUCGACCCUGACGCUGAGGCGCGAAAGCGUGGGGAGCGAACGGG
rnacentral:rRNA from 1 species